AUGCCCUGGCCCGCGCGGUCCGCGGCGGUUGGAGCGGCUCCAGAUCUCGGUCCCGCGGGCGUGCAGGGCUGGGGCGGGGGGAGCCUUCGGGGAGAACCGAGGAGAAAGCAUUUCCCGGGCGCAGGGGGCGCCCCCAGGCCGGUGCCCGGAGCUCCGGGUGGGAGCUGGGAAGGCCCUCGAGGUGGGCGCGGGGAGACGAGGGGGGGGGGGGCGGGGCGCGAACCCCGCUGGGAGCGCGCGGGGCUCCCCCCGCCCGCCGCGGCCCCCGGCGCGACCCUUCCCCAGCCGGGUCCCCGGGGCGGCGGGGCCCACCGCGCGGUCGGCCCGAAGACCCGGAGAAGCGGACUGCAGGGGGCGGGGGCGGGGCGGGGGCGGGGGCGGGGGCGGCGGGGUCAGGGGUCGCGUGCCGGGCGCGGGCCGCGCUCCGCCGAUCCGGGCUUUGCCGCGCGCCCCCCGCCCGGGCCGAGCCGAGCCGAGCCGGAGCUGUGGGUGGGACGGCGGCCGCGAGGCUGGGCUGGGCUGGGCUGGGCUGGCUGGGCUGGCGCUCCGACGGCGGCGGCGGCGGCGGCGGGCGCUCGGGAGCCGGGCCGCGGCGGCGGGAGGACAAAGGCCGGGGUGAGAGCGGCUCCGCCAGGGGGCUGCGGGGCUGCGGGGUCCGGCGCGCGGGGUCCCGGGUGCAGGGUCCGGGGUCCGGGGCGCGGGGUCCGGGGCGCGGGGUCCGGGGCGCGGGGUCCCGGGCGCGGGUGGGCGCGGGCGCUCCCCGGUCGGUGCCCGCAGCCCAGGCGCCCUAGGGUCCGGGUCCGGCCUCGAGGGCACGUGGGGCGUGGGUGCUGGUGCCGCGGGGGCGCGCGGCGAGCUCCGCAGGCGAGAGCGGCUGCAAACGGCGGUGCGCGCGGUGGUCGGUGUGCGGGUGCGGGUGCGCGCGCGUGUGUCCCGGAGCUCGGGGCGGGGUGGCAGCCGCAGGUCCCAGCACUGGGGACGCGGGAGAAAUGCGGCUUUUUCCCAGAAGCGCCCUGGGACCGGCUCUGA
rnacentral:lncRNA from 1 species